ACACGUGUGCGGGCUGAGUCGCCGGGGCCUGGAGGGGGAACCGCGCGCUGCGGCUGCUGCGCUUGCUCCGUCCCCGGACGCCGCUGGCUUGCUUCCCUUGUCAGCUGUGUGGGGACUGGCAGAGGGUGUGAGAGCGGGAAACGACCGGACGAGCGGCGGGGAGCGUCCUGGGUGAGGAGGAGGAAGUCUGGUCUUAGGUGUGAAGGAUGCUGACGCGUUCCGGCGCGUCGCGGUGCCACUCUCGGCUUCUGAGCGUUGCCCUACGCCGCAGCGGGUUUUCCUCAGCUGUGAAGCGCGGCUGCGUCCUGCCCGGGCUUCCCCCCGCCGGGACGGUUCCAACGCCCGAGCCCAGCGGGCUUGGGCCUCCGCUGUCGGGCCAGGCUAGUUGCUCCGGGGCUGGGAGUUACGGCACCGGGGUUGGGGCGGAGAAGACGAACUAGUUCAACUCGACCCGGUUAAGCAAGCGCAGCAGUGUGUGUUCUUGGAUCAUAGUAUUUCAUGUAAACAUUUUGAUUUAAGAGAAACAAAAGGGAAAAUAUUAACCGUUUUCAAGCAUCCAAAGGCGAAAUGCUUCAUCUCUGGGAUGGAGUAGAGGAGUAGCCUCUGCGGUUGAGUUGCAGUCGUGGGUGCAAGAAGCAGCGCUGAAGCAGAGUGCAGCCCCGGAAUAGGGCGGGAUGGAAUGGCCUGGGCAGUUCAGAAACCCGCGAGGAGUCCAGGGCGGAACAGAACACAGGUGUCAUGAAAACUACCCCUAAAAGCCAAAAUGGGAAAGGAAAAGACUCAUAUCAACAUUGUCGUCAUUGGACACGUAGAUUCGGGCAAGUCCACCACUACUGGCCAUCUGAUCUAUAAAUGCAGUAGCAUCGACAAAAGAACCAUUGAAAAAUUUGAGAAGGAGACUGCUGAGAUGGGAAAGGGCUCUUUCAAGUAUGGCUGGGUCUUGGAUAAACUGAAAGCUGAGCGUGAACGUGGUAUCACCAUUGAUAUCUCCUUGUGGAAAUUUGAGACCAGCAAGUACUAUGUGACUAUCACUGAUGCUCCAGGACACAGAGACUUCAUCAAAAACAUGAUUACAGGGACAUCUCAGGCUGACUGUGCUGUCCCGAUUGUUGCUGCUGGUGUUGCCACCCUACAGCCAGAAGAGAUAUGAGGAAAUUGUUAAGGAAGUCAGCACUUACAUUAAGAAAAUUGGCUACAACCCCGACACAGUAGCAUUUGUGCCAAUUUCUGGUUGGAAUGGUAACAACAUGCUGGAGCCAAGUGCUAACAUGCCUUGGUUCAAGGGAUGGAAAGUCACCCGUAAGGAUGGCAAUGCCAGUGGAACCAUGCUGCUUGAGGCUCUGGACUGCAUCCUACCACCAACUCGUCCAACUGACAAUGUGGGCUUCCAUGUCAAGAAUGUGUCUGUCAAGGAUGUUCGUCGUGGCAACGUUGCUGGUGACAGCAAAAAUGACCCACCAAUGGAAGCAGCUGGCUUCACUGCUCAGGUGAUUAUCCUGAACCAUCCAGGCCAAAUAAGCGCUGGCUAUGCCCCUGUAUUGGAUUGCCACACGGCUCAUACAGUUGCGGUGGGUGUCAUCAAAGCAGUGGACAAGAAGGCUGCUGGAGCUGGCAAGGUCACCAACUCUGCCCAGAAAGCUCAGAUGGCUAAAUGAAUAUUAUCCCUAAUACCUGCCACCCCACUCUUAAUCAGUGGUGGAAGAACGGUCUCAGAACUGUUUGUUUCAAUUGGCCAUUUAAGUUUAGUAGUAAAAGACUGGUUAAUGAUAACAAUGCAUCGUAAAACCUUCAGAAGGAAAGGAGAAUGUUUUGUGGACCACUUUGGUUUUCUUUUUUGCAUGUGGCAGUUUUAAGUUAUUAGUUUUUAAAAUCAGUACUUUUUAAUGGAAACAACUUGACCAAAAAUUUGUCACAGAAUUUUGAGACCCAUUAAAAAAGUUUAAUGAGAAAAAAAAAGAAAAA
rnacentral:lncRNA from 1 species